rnacentral:rRNA from 1 species
GACGAACGCUGGCGGCGUGCCUAAUACAUGCAAGUCGAACGCUUCUUUCCUCCCGAGUGCUUGCACUCAAUUGGAAAGAGGAGUGGCGGACGGGUGAGUAACACGUGGGUAACCUACCCAUCAGAGGGGGAUAACACUUGGAAACAGGUGCUAAUACCGCAUAACAGUUUAUGCCGCAUGGCAUAAGAGUGAAAGGCGCUUUCGGGUGUCGCUGAUGGAUGGACCCGCGGUGCAUUAGCUAGUUGGUGAGGUAACGGCUCACCAGGGCCACGAUGCAUAGCCGACCUGAGAGGGUGAUCGGCCACACUGGGACUGAGACACGGCCCAGACUCCUACGGGAGGCAGCAGUAGGGAAUCUUCGGCAAUGGACGAAAGUCUGACCGAGCAACGCCGCGUGAGUGAAGAAGGUUUUCGGAUCGUAAAACUCUGUUGUUAGAGAAGAACAAGGACGUUAGUAACUGAACGUCCCCUGACGGUAUCUAACCAGAAAGACACGGCUAACUACGUG